rnacentral:rRNA from 1 species
GUCCACGCCGUAAACGAUGGAUACUAGCUGUUGGGGCAACUUCAGUGGCUAAGCGAAAGUGAUAAGUAUCCCACCUGGGGAGUACGUUCGCAAGAAUGAAACUCAAAGGAAUUGACGGGGGCCCGCACAAGCGGUGGAGCAUGUGGUUUAAUUCGAUGAUACGCGAGGAACCUUACCAAGGCUUAAAUGUAGAUUGACCGAUUUGGAAACAGAUCUUUCGCAAGACAAUUUACAAGGUGCUGCAUGGUUGUAGU